CGAGUGGCGGACGGGUGAGUAACGCGUGGGUAACCUACCUCAUGCAGGGGGACAACAGUUGGAAACGGCUGCUAAUACCGCAUAAGCGCACAGCUUCGCAUGAAGCAGUGUGAAAAGCCUUAACGGCAUGAGAUGGACCCGCGUCUGAUUAGCUAGUUGGUGAGGUAACGGCCCACCAAGGCGACGAUCAGUAGCCGACCUGAGAGGGUGACCGGCCACAUUGGGACUGAGACACGGCCCAAACUCCUACGGGAGGCAGCAGUGGGGAAUAUUGCACAAUGGGCGGAAGCCUGAUGCAGCGACGCCGCGUGAGGGAUGACGGCCUUCGGGUUGUAAACCUCUUUCGACUCCGACGAAGCGAAAGUGACGGUAGGAGCAUAAGAAGCACCGGCCAACUACGUGCCAGCAGCCGCGGUAAUACGUAGGGUGCGAGCGUUGUCCGGAAUUACUGGGCGUAAAGAGCUUGUAGGCGGCUUGUCGCGUCGAUCGUGAAAACUCGGGGCUCAACCCCGAGCUUGCGGUCGAUACGGGCAGGCUUGAGUACUUCAGGGGAGACUGGAAUUCCUGGUGUAGCGGUGAAAUGCGCAGAUAUCAGGAGGAACACCGGUGGCGAAGGCGGGUCUCUGGGAAGUAACUGACGCUGAGAAGCGAAAGCGUGGGUAGCGAACAGGAUUAGAUACCCUGGUAGUCCACGCCGUAAACGGUGGGUACUAGGUGUGGGUUUCCUUCCACGGGAUCCGUGCCGUAGCUAACGCAUUAAGUACCCCGCCUGGGGAGUACGGCCGCAAGGCUAAAACUCAAAGGAAUUGACGGGGGCCCGCACAAGCGGCGGAGCAUGUGGAUUAAUUCGAUGCAACGCGAAGAACCUUACCUGGGUUUGACAUACACCGGAAACCUGCAGAGAUGUAGGCCCCCUUGUGGUCGGUGUACAGGUGGUGCAUGGCUGUCGUCAGCUCGUGUCGUGAGAUGUUGGGUUAAGUCCCGCAACGAGCGCAACCCUUAUCUUAUGUUGCCAGCGCGUAAUGGCGGGGACUCGUGAGAGACUGCCGGGGUCAACUCGGAGGAAGGUGGGGACGACGUCAAAUCAUCAUGCCCUUUAUGUCUUGGGCUUCACGCAUGCUACAAUGGCCGGUACAAAGAGAAGCGAGACCGCGAGGUGGAGCGAAUCUCAGAAAGCCGGUCUCAGUUCGGAUCGUAGUCUGCAACUCGACUACGUGAAGUCGGAGUCGCUAGUAAUCGCAGAUCAGCAAUGCUGCGGUGAAUACGUUCCCGGGCCUUGCACUCACCGCCCGUCA
rnacentral:rRNA from 1 species